UCUCCGUAGGUGAACCUGCGGAGGGAUCAUUACUGAGUGAGGGCUCCGGCCCGACCUCCAACCCCAUGUGAACCGAAACCUGUUGCUUCGGGGGCGACCCUGCCGGCACUUCGUCGCCGGGCGCCCCCGGAGGUCUCCAAACACUGCAUCUCUGCGUCGGAGUUUGAAACAAAUUAAACAAAACUUUCAACAACGGAUCUCUUGGUUCUGGCAUCGAUGAAGAACGCAGC
rnacentral:misc_RNA from 1 species